GUCAUGUUCCAAUGUACUAUGUGAGUAUUCAAUCAAAGAAGUUAGGCUGUUUUCCAAGAAUUGGUUCUCUCCUAAAGGUCAAACC
rnacentral:lncRNA from 1 species